GAUGAACGCUGGCGGCGUGCCUAAUACAUGCAAGUCGAGCGAACAGACGAGGAGCUUGCUCCUCUGACGUUAGCGGCGGACGGGUGAGUAACACGUGGAUAACCUACCUAUAAGACUGGGAUAACUUCGGGAAACCGGAGCUAAUACCGGAUAAUAUAUUGAACCGCAUGGUUCAAUAGUGAAAGACGGUUUUGCUGACACUUAAAGAUGGAUCCGCGCCGCAUUAGCUAGUUGGUAAGGUAACGGCUUACCAAGGCGACGAUGCGUAGCCGACCUGAGAGGGUGAUCGGCCACACUGUAACUGAGACACGGUCCAGACUCCUACGGGAGGCAGCAGUAGGGAAUCUUCCGCGAUGGGCGAAAGCCUGACGGAGCAACGCCGCGUGAGUGAUGAAGGUCUUCUGAUCGUAAAACUCUGUUAUUAGGGAAGAACAAAUGUGUAAGUAACUAUGCACGUCUUGACGGUACCUAAUCAGAAAGCCACGGCUAACUACGUG
rnacentral:rRNA from 1 species